GGGCGGCUAGCUCAGUUGGUUAGAGCACUUGCUUGACAUGCAAGAGGUCACUGGUUCGAGCCCAGUGUCGCCCACCA
rnacentral:tRNA from 1 species